rnacentral:rRNA from 1 species
CAUGUCUUUUUGAAAAAAAUAUAAAGUCUAGUCUGCUCAAUGAAUAAAAAUUUAAAUAGCUGCAGUAUUUUGACUGUACAAAGGUAGCAUAAUAAAUAGUUUUUUAAUUGAAAGCUGGAAUGAAGGAUUGGACGAGAAAAUUACUGUCUCAAUUUUAAUAAAGUUGAAUUUAACUUUUUAGUUAAAAGGCUAAAAUGGUUUUAAAAGACGAGAAGACCCUAUAGAGUUUUAUAGUUAAUAUUUUAUAUUAUUAUUUAGAAUUAUUAAAAUUUAUUUAUAUAUUAAUUAUUUGGUUGGGGUGAUUGGAAAAUUGAUUAAACUUUUUUAUUUAAACAAUUAUUUAUUUAUAAAUUAAUUUUCUAGAAUUUUUUAAAUUUAAAAUAAAUUACCUUAGGGAUAACAGCGUAAUAUAUUUUUAAAGUUCUUAUUUAAAAAUUUGUUUGCGACCUCGAUGUUGGAUUAAAAUUUAUAAUU